CAAUGACAAUGAAGAAAUAUUAACUUCUGUGACUUCUGAUUUGCCUCACUUCUCCGAGACUGCAGCUCAAGAUGACCAGGGGAAUGAUGCCUGUGUGACUUCUGGUUCACCUCCUGUCCCUGACUCAGUUACUAAAGGUUUACGUGUUUCAUCAAGGCGGUGUGUGAAGAGACCAUGGUCUGAGGAGGAGAUAGGAGCGGUGAUGAAACAUAUGAAGCCUUUAUUGAAAACGGUAUCACUG